GGGAGAUGGAAAUGCUAUCGAUAACAUGAGCGACAGUAGCAUAGAUGUUGUAUGUGUAAUAGCUGUCAAACGGUUAUAGACAGUCAUCAAUAACUAAAGUUCUGUGUCUAGUUUUAUGAUCUAGGCGCAAUAUUUUCGUAGCUAGUUUAAGCGGCCAUUUGUAAAACAAACCAGUGCAUAGAUAUUCGUGACAGCCGCAGACAACUAAUGGUUGUGGUUAACGGCAUCUGAAAAGUAACGUCCCAGGAAGAAUCGCAAGAGAGGCUGCAUACUGAACAUCUGCAAUAUGCACUAGCAGAUUACCAUUUGCACUUUUUUCUGCCAAAGUAACUGGGACACUUCAGAAUGAGCUUCUUGUUUGGCAGUCGGUCAUCAAAAACUUUUAAACCGAAGAAGAACAUACCUGAAGGGACGCACCAGUAUGACUUAAUGAAACAUGCUGCUGCAACAUUGGGUUCCGGUAAUCUGCGGCUCGCAGUGAUGUUGCCUGAAGGAGAAGAUUUAAAUGAGUGGGUCGCAGUUAACACUGUGGACUUCUUUAAUCAGAUCAAUAUGUUAUAUGGAACAAUAACAGAAUUUUGCACUGAAGACAGUUGUCCUAUAAUGUCAGCAGGACCAAAGUAUGAAUACCAUUGGGCAGAUGGACAUACUGUAAAGAAACCUAUAAAAUGUUCUGCCCCUAAAUACAUAGAUUAUUUAAUGACAUGGGUGCAAGAUCAGUUAGAUGAUGAAACAUUAUUUCCUUCAAAAAUUGGAGUACCAUUUCCCAAAAAUUUCCUCUCCAUUGCAAAGACGAUACUGAAGAGACUUUUCAGAGUGUAUGCACAUAUUUAUCACCAGCAUUUCUCUGAAGUUGUCCAGCUGGGCGAAGAGGCUCAUCUCAAUACAUCAUUUAAACACUUCAUCUUUUUUGUUCAGGAAUUCAAUUUGAUUGAUCGAAAAGAAUUAGCGCCUUUACAGGAAUUAAUUGAGAAGCUAACAGCGAAAGAAUGCCGAUAAAAAGGAAAUGCUUUCGAAUACUCUGUGGGGACAAUAUAUAAAGUGAACAAAAUAUAUUUACAUACAUUUGUAUAGUUUUUGUGUAAUUUCUCACAUGGUGCCGUUACAUAGCUUAUCAUGCGUUGUUGCACAUUGUUCCUGUUGGAUUGUCUGUUAGUCCAGAUCACAAAGUGAGAAUGAAAAAUAUGAUGGAAAAUUCUUAUCAAAUUCAUGUUUUAUCCAUAGAGACGUGAUGAUGGCAUUAUUUUUGUGACAAGUGAGUACAAGAAAUAUCUGUGCUAAUCAGGAAAAGUAGUCAUAGUAACAAAAAUUUAUAGGAUAGUAACUUUGGGAGAUCACACAGAGGUUGUAUAUGACAUCCAGGAAAAUAGAGAUUGUGUGACUCAGCAUAAUUUUGUGUAUUUCUUUUUUUGUGUUUACAAGAAGAUUAUAGUUGAUACUAAACAAACAGCAAAACAACAAAGUUCUUAGUUAAAAUAGUUUAGAAAUCUUUUCAAAAGAUGGACAAUUAGAGAAAGAAGUAUCUCCAGCUAAUUUUUGAAUCUACAACAAUUCUGUUGUCUCUCUCUUAAGUAUAGGAUGAUUCUUAGUUUAAAGUGCCUCUUAUAAAGUAGUGUGAUAUAAAUGAAAAGGGAUCAUAGCCUUAUGCACCAAAAGUACUUCUGAUGAUAUCACUCUAUUUCUUAUAAGAGUUCAAAGUAUUUUACUACUGUUGUGAAAUGUGAUUUCGGAUCUGUUGUUACCAGAUAAUUAUGUAUUCUUGAAAUGUACUAAACUUAUUUUGUCUCACAUAUUUGCUAAUGAUAGGGGUGUUCACUGUAUAUAGCAAACAAUGUAAAGUAGACACUAAUAUGAUUGUAUCAACACUGUUUUAAUGUAAUGAAACUCUUAUGUCUCUAACUGUUGAUUCUGAUGUUGACAAACAUUCUAAAUAGAAUGUGCUUCUGGGUGUUCUGCUGAGUUAUCCUCAUUUACGUACAAUAUUCACUCACAUCAAGGAAACCUAAGAGAUCACAUUGUGUUGCUGUUGCUGCUAUUGGACUCUUUUAUAGCUGUAAAUACAUGCUCUCAAAGCUGUGCAUAUUUUGUAAUGUUAAGAGCAUGACAUUUAUUGCUACUACAUUAAUGUUUUCCAGAUGGACUGUUGCCACUCACAUUAUUAUUUGUAGCAAUCUUCUGUGAUCAACUAUGUGUUUAGAGCAGCAUGACUCACAAGAAUCUCAUUGUCUGGUUGUAAGUUGUACCAUCUCUUGUAACAUGCAUAUGAAAUUUUGUGGUUGUGUCCUGCUUACAGAUCUAAACUUGCUUUUGAAAUUUAAAGUAAUCAUAAAACUUCUUUCAUAAAAUUUUCAUAAGUAAGACUAUGUAAUGUGAUCACGUAGAAAAUUUGUUUUUCUAAGAAUCUUUUUAAAAGGUACCUUAUUCAUUCUUGGAAGUU